UACGGGGGGAGCAAGCGUUGUUCGGAUUUACUGGGCGUAAAGGGCGCGUAGGCGGCCAGCACAAGUCAGUUGUGAAAUCUCCGGGCUUAACCCGGAGCGGUCAAGUGAUACUGUCGUGCUAGAGUGCGGAAGGGGCUACUGGAAUUCUCGGUGUAGCGGUGAAAUGCGUAGAUAUCGAGAGGAACACCUGCGGCGAAGGCGGGUAGCUGGGCCGACACUGACGCUGAUGCGCGAAAGCCAGGGGAGCGAACGGG
rnacentral:rRNA from 1 species